rnacentral:lncRNA from 1 species
CUGCUGCACUAAUUGGUGAAGCCCACCUAAUUUGAAACCCUCAUCCUUGCAGGUGCCGUUACUUCUUCCAUGAAAAUUAAACCGAAAACUGAAACAGUCAAGAUAUAUUCGACCAAAACUUGGCAUGCUGGGUUUCUUAAGAUUUCACUUGAGCAUAUCUACAUUAAAAUUCAGAGGUUAUUCAUGAACACAGUUUAUGGAAGGGCUAUCUCAAAAAUAAAGAACUAAAACCCUGACUUCCUUUUCUUCUGAAAUGCUAUCUAUCUAUAUCUAUGUAUGUGUGUAGAGAG